UUUGGGUAAAUUCUUUUAAAAUCACAAAUGAAGCAAAAUGUGCUAAAUUAAUAUUUUUUUAUAUUUAAUCUUUUAAUAUUUCCAGGAAUAAUUCUUUAUUGGAUUCUCAUGGAUCGUCAGACGAAGAUGAUAAUGGAUUUCUUGUUAAAAAAACAAGACAAGUGGAUUUGCAAUUUCAUGAAGAGGAGGACGUGGUGUUACCGUUAGCUUUCAAAAAAACUGAGAAAAUCAUCGAUUCAUCAGCCACGUUAACGGAUAUAGAAAUAGUAGGAGACCCACAUGAUUCCCUAACAUCAACUGAGAUCCACACAUUCCAUCACAAAAAUGAUGUCUUUACG